CUAGCUCUCCUCCUGAAGUCCGCCGCGAAUAUGGCCUCAGGAGUUCAAGUUGCGGAUGAAGUAUGUCGCAUUUUCUACGACAUGAAAGUUCGGAAAUGCUCUACACCAGAAGAAAUCAAGAAAAGAAAGAAGGCUGUCAUUUUCUGUCUCAGUGCAGACAAAAAGUGCAUAGUCGUUGAAGAAGGCAAAGAGAUCUUGGUGGGAGAUAUUGGUGUUACCAUAACUGAUCCUUUCAAGCAUUUUGUCGGAAUGCUUCCUGAAAAAGAUUGUCGCUAUGCUUUGUAUGACGCCAGCUUUGAAACCAAGGAGUCCAGAAAAGAAGAGCUAAUGUUCUUCUUGUGGGCAUCAGAACAAGCACCUCUGAAAAGUAAAAUGAUCUAUGCAAGCUCAAAGGACGCCAUCAAGAAGAAAUUUCCAGGUAUAAAGCAUGAAUAUCAAGCAAAUGGGCCAGAAGACCUCAAUCGGAAUAGUAUAGCUGAAAAGCUAGGUGGCUCCCUAAUUGUAGCAUUUGAAGGAUCCCCCUUGUAGAUCAUGAGUCAGUGCCAUGAAGCUUCCAAAUUUAACACUAUCCUUUCACUAUAUAAGUAAAGCAAAUAUAUUAGGCCAGGAUCUCACUGAGUUAUUUGUCA